rnacentral:rRNA from 1 species
AGGGGUGCUACCGGGUGACCGGAUGCCGAUCUCGAAAACCUGUCCCAGUUCGGACUGGAGUCUGCAACCCGACUCCACGAAGUUGGAUUCGCUAGUAAUCGCGCAUCAGCCAUGGCGCGGUGAAUACGUUCCCGGGCCUUGUACACACCGCCCGUCAAGCCAUGGGAGCCGGGGGCGCCUGAAGUCCGGGACCGCGAGGACCGGCCUAAGGCGAAACUGGUGACUGGGGCUAAGUCGUAACAAGGUAAC